rnacentral:tRNA from 1 species
GGCCUUGUAGCUCAGCUGGGAGAGCAUGCGCUGUACAAAACCGCAGGCGGCGUCCAUGUGUGGGUUCAAAUCCCACCGAAGCUA